rnacentral:rRNA from 2 species
GCUGGUGCUUAGGGCGAGGUGGAACUACCCUUUUCCAUUCCGAACAAGGUCGUAAAACGCCUCAGCGGGGACGAUAGUUAUCUGGCAACGGAUCGCGAAAAUACCUCAGUGCCAGCA